rnacentral:tRNA from 1 species
UGGCCUAGCGGUUAAGGCUAUGGAUCGCCAAUCCGGAGACGGCGGGUUCGAUUCCCGU